UACGUAGGCAGCGAGCGUUGUUCGGAAUUACUGGGCGUAAAGAGUGUGUAGGCGGUGUUCCAAGUUCGGUGUGAAAUCUCCCGCUUAACUGGGAGGGUGCGCCGAAAACUGGAAUGCUCGAGCGUGGGAGAGGAAAGCGGAAUUCCUGGUGUAGCGGUGAAAUGCGUAGAUAUCAGGAGGAACACCAGCGGUGUAGACGGCUUUCUGGACCAUUGCUGACGCUGAGACGCGAAAGCGUGGGGAGCGAACAGG
rnacentral:rRNA from 1 species